rnacentral:rRNA from 1 species
GACAGAGGUCCCGAGCGUUGUUCGGAAUUAUUGGGCGUAAAGGGUGCGUAGGCGGUGCGGUAAGUCUGUUGUGAAAUCUCCGGGCUCAACUCGGAGUCUGCAUCAGAAACUGCCGUGCUGGAGUGUGGGAGAGGUGAGUGGAAUUCCCGGUGUAGCGGUGAAAUGCGUAGAGAUCGGGAGGAACACCUGCGGCGAAAGCGGCUCACUGGACCAUAACUGACGCUGAUGCACGAAAGCUAGGGGAGCAAACAGG